UGCGUAGGUGGUGAGGUAAGUCGGAUGUGAAAUCUCCGAGCUCAACUCGGAAACUGCAUUGGAAACUACCUUGCUCGAGGGUUGGAGGGGGGACUGGAAUGCUUGGUGUAGCAGUGAAAUGCGUAGAUAUCGAGAGGAACACCUGCGGCGAAGCGGUUGCUGGGCUGACACUGACGCUGAACUGCGAAAGCUAGGGGAGCGAACG
rnacentral:rRNA from 1 species